AAAAAAUGAUUACUUCAAAUCUAACCCACUCAUUAUCGAUUAUUAAUCAAAAAUUUCCAUCAAACUAUUAAUCAUCCAUGAUCAAUCUCAUAACUCUCUAGCCUCCCUUAUGUUGGUCUCUGCUCCUAAGGAAAAUUAAUAAAAAAUAAAAAAAUCUCAACACCUCCAAUUUAGUGUACUGAUAAAUAAGUUGGGGAUUCAAUUAAUUGGAUACCAUAACU
rnacentral:lncRNA from 1 species